CGCCGGCGGGAAACAUGUCCGCGGGCCGCCCGUUCCUGGCCUGCGCCUGCUUCCUCACCGACAACAUCUUCGUGAGGCGCUGCGGGCUGCACGUGCGGUACCGGGACGAGCGGCAGCUGCGGCGCGACCACGGGCGGGCGCUGCGGGAGCGGGGCUGCAGGAGCGAGGAGCAGUUCAGAGCCGUGCUGCGGGAGAUUGAGGCAGAGGUGCAGAGAAGGAAACAGUUGAUCCCUCAGUCAGUGGAACGCAAAGGCAUCAUCUCCAGGUGCUACCAACGGAAACACCCCCAGGUGUACACUCUGCAGGAUUCCUUCCUGGCCCCAGCUUUCCUGGAAGUUGUGAGGUACUGCACGUCGCCGGGCGCUCACCUCCAUGGGCUCCUGCGCUACCUCGAGUCCUUCUCAGAUAAGAGGAUCUAUCGACUCCCAGUGUUCACAGAAGAGUUCUGCCAAACCUUUGUGGAUGAGCUGGAGAACUUUGAGCAGUCAGACAUGCCUAAAGGCAGGCCCAACACCAUGAAUAACUAUGGGGUUUUGCUAAAUGAGCUUGGGAUGGACGAAACUUUCAUCACCCCCCUGCGUGAGAAGUACCUGCAGCCCAUAACAGCCCUGCUGUACCCUGACCUGGGAGGUGCUUCUCUGGACAGCCACAAAGCCUUUGUUGUCAAGUACUCCCUCCACCAAGAUCUGGAUCUGAGCUCUCACUAUGACAAUGCAGAAGUCACCUUAAACGUUUCCCUGGGGAAAGACUUCACAGAAGGCAACUUGUACUUUGGGGACUUCAGUCAGGAUCCCAGCCCUGUGCCACAGUACAUUGAGGUCGAGCACGUGGGAGCUCAGGGGCUGCUCCACCGGGGAGGGCAGAUCCACGGGGCCCUGCCCAUCGCCUCUGGGGAGCGCUGGAACCUCGUCAUUUGGAUGAGAUCGUCUGCCGUCCGCAACCAGCUCUGCCCCAUGUGCCACAAGAAACCAGAGCUGCUGGAGGCAGAGGGCUUUGGGGAUGGCUUCACACACCCCCUCCAAGAUGAUGUGCCUGAGACUGUGAAUGUCUGUGCCUUGUGGUAACAACAGUAGGGCCUGGUUUCUCCAGAGCAGGUGCCUGAAGCUCCUUUCUGACCUCUCAGACUGCACCACUGGACCCUGAUGGGUGCACAGGAGGAGCUGCCACCUUGGGAAGUGAUGCAGACCCCGUGCUGCUGGGCUUAGGGAAGCCAGCUGCUCAGGGAUGGAGAGCUGGAGGGCUAAGACUCAGCCUGAACACUUUUACUCACUGCAAAGGCUUUGUAGACAAUUUCAAGUGCACAAGGAGAACCCCAAAGCUGUUUGGCCUCUGUGAAGUUGUGCCAAGAGCAGCAUCUUGGGUCCUGCUGUAGAAAGUUACAGGAAUGAGGGAAAACACAGAAGAACUUUGUCACUCUGGGUGCUGCCAGUGGCCUCGGGAUCCCCUGGGGAAGGUCAGUGCUUUCCCUGUCUCGCUGCAAUCAC